CAAUCCCCGCCCUCGACUUGUCCCACUCCCACACGAGCCACCAGACAAACCCUAGCCUUUUCCCCCUCGACCCCAACCUCUCCCGCCUCCUCCGUCCCUUCUCCUCGCUUCACCACAGGAGCCUCGCCAACGCCUGCUAUUCCCCCUCCCUCGUCUCUGUUCGACGCCAAGGACCAGCUCACCCCACACCUUUUCUCCAUGCACGACCUAGGGUUGGGGAGCUCGGGUGUUCUUGCUGGGGUGGAGGAGCAGGUGAGGCUCGGGAGGCCGAUGGUGGGGGAGAAGUGAGGCCAGCAGAUGGAGCAGUGAGGCCCGAACUGCAGGCAUCGUACACAUUGCGGGAUGGAGAAGAGGUCGGUGUGGGGCGUAAGGAGCAGCGGGGUUCUAAUCGCGACUCCUGCGACCUCGUCACCGGUGCUCGCUCGGCUGGCCUAUGGGGCGAUGGCCGGGACGUUGGCCCUCUGCACGAACUCGAAGACGAGUCUAGCUAACGAGCCCCGUGCGAUUGUGUGAAGCAAGUAUACGUGGCGAUGCACGCCGUCGGUUAGUGUAGUAGCCUGCACACACGACAUGAGCAGCAGCCAGGUCCAUGGGCGUUGCUUGGGGAGCAACGGUCAAGUCACGGGGUGCCAUCAAUUGGGAAAAUAAAUUUCCUUCUUGUGAGAUAUCAAACCAUACAUGUCCUACAAAUCCGAGAUUCAGGCAGCCUUGUUGAGGUACGAAGAAUUGGUGCAUUUUAUCGGAAGAUGACGAACUAUGUCUUCAUUCACAUGGCCAGGCUGCACAAUGGAGUUCUUUUCUUCCUGGUAUCAAGCAAUGGUUGCUAUCAUUUAUUUUCCACGGACUUGGAAUGAGGAACCUGAACAGGCUUUGCUUACCUACUUAGCUAUCUUGCACGCCAUUCAUUCAUUAGCUAAGUGAUCUUGAUCUGUGCUUUGCAUUCAUACUUGAUUGGUUAUUCCCAGAUUGAUCUCAAUAUUUUGAAUGCUCAAGCCAAUUACGAUGCUUAAAAUCAUCUCUAACUUAUUGCAUUCAUUGCUGAAAUUUUCACACUCCCUGUCAUUAUUGUGUAUAGUGAAUCUUGCAUCUUUUCAAUUGUUGAGACAAACUUAUGCUUAAUUGCUUACACCCAUUUAUUUCUUCGUCGUGUGGUCCUUGUUGUGAAUGAAAAAUGCUUUGUCUCAACUUGUUCGAAAUAGUAAUUUUUAUUUGCAAAGGGUCCAGCAUCUGAAGAAGAAAUUUUAUUUUCACUUUGAAGACUAUGUGGAUCUUAUCAUAUGGAAGGUACCUAAUAUAUAUAAAUUCUAGACUAGCUUUAUUGAAUCACAAUAGCAUUGUGGAAACAUAGUUUGUUGGUUCUGAACUUUUGCGGCACAUAAAUUUUAGCUUUAAGGAAUUAUGAUAUUGGCCAUUUCCACUGAACAAUAGAAGGACACAUGCAAGGACAUAUAGAAACUGAAGUUAACGUAAUCCCAUAGGAUAUAGUGUGAGAAUAGUACACCGAUUUAGUGAUGCAAGUACUAGCUUGUUUUGCCAUCCCUCUGAUGAAAGUUACUUUAGGUAAUCUUGGUAUAAAAUCAUUUCCUUAAAUUGUAACGUAGGGUCGGAUGGGGAUUGUUAUUUCACCUGAAUAUUUGAUUGUGCUUCUAAGUUAUGGGAAAUAGAUAGAGUAAGAGGAAAUGGGGUGUUGUUAGGUGGGACCUUGCCACACUUGCCUUGGUUUUUGGCAUCGAAGCUCGACCCUAUAUGGCUAGCCUUCCAUGGUUAGAUCAAGGAUCCCAAGCUGCAGGUGAGCUCUUCUUUUCACCUGCAGGUUAUGAGUUAUCUCCACCUCAAUGAGAUUUAUUUUGCACACUAAUGACUGUAGGUUGCGUAAUGUUUGGAGUGGUCUUCUUCCAUAUUUCUCCAAUUUAGUCAUGUAUUUCUUUGCGGCCAUGUUCGCUUCAAUAUUCCCUGAUUCUCACAUGUUGGUUGUGAUUUCUUUGUUUAUGUUGGACUAUUCUGCGAACGGCCAUCAUGAAAAUAGUGUUGUCAGAUGGUAGCCAUUAUUGGUACUACUUAAGUGCUUAUCAGUUAACUUAGCUGAGCUCUACAGGGUAGCCAAAUGAUUAUUGGGUGAUUUAUUUGCAGUAAAUUAUAGCGUUACUUUGAUUGAUUCUAGGAUGUGCUUGAGAAUAACUUUGCCACUUCUCAGAUUAAUCUAUUCAAUAGUAGAAUGUUGGAAUAAAGUAUUAGACAGAUAAUUUGUUCAUCCAAGCCUUUACUUGCUCCCAUUUCCUCCAAGCUCAUAUGCAAUCAGGAACAACCACGGGAAAUCCUUGGUUUACUGUUUCUUCUCUGGAUUCCUACCAGUGCCUAGCGUCGGUGUUAUUUAGAGUUUUUGAUAAUUUAUUCAGUGGAGCCAAAUUGUGCCUUCCAUCCCAUGUUCUUGUGUCACAAUAAAGUAUGGUAUAAAAGAUAAUUCAAUUAACAAAAAGAUUGUGGUGGCCAUUUAGUUCAAAAUGCACCAGUUCCUACAUGGACAACUAGUUGACUUGACUAUGUGCUAGAAUUUAGCUCAAAAUGCACCAGUUCUUACAUGGACAACCAUUUGACUGAACUAUGUGCGAGAACUUAGGUUUCCUUCAUGGUACUGAACGACAGCCUAAUGAUGUGAUUCCAGGAAGGGAAGGAUGUGGUCGCAAAGGCCAAGACUGGUUCUAGAAAGACCUUUGCCUACCUUCUCCCACUGUUGCAAGAGCUGCUGAAGUUGUGCAAAGAAGGGCGUAUUCAGAAAUCUGCACCAAAUGCCUUAAUCCUGGUGCCAACUUGUGACUUAUGCCAGCAAGUAUUCGACUUCUGUUUCUUCGCAAGAUAUUUUUUUAUGUAUAGGCAACUGCUUUAGAGUCGCUUAACCCAGCCAUGGUUAAUUGGACAUAUAAAUGAGUGUAAAACUGAGAACAUCUGCCGCCAUUGAGAAUUGUUGGCAUCUACAUUAUUUGUAGAUUUGGUGUUUGGUUGAUUUGACAUAUAAAUGAGUGUA